GAUGAACGCUGGCGGCGUGCCUAAUACAUGCAAGUAGAACGCUGAAGGAGGAGCUUGCUCUUCUGGAUGAGUUGCGAACGGGUGAGUAACGCGUAGGUAACCUGCCUGGUAGCGGGGGAUAACUAUUGGAAACGAUAGCUAAUACCGCAUGACAACAGUUAUUGCAUGAUAACUGUUUAAAAGGGGCAACUGCUCCACUACCAGAUGGACCUGCGUUGUAUUAGCUAGUUGGUGAGGUAACGGCUCACCAAGGCGACGAUACAUAGCCGACCUGAGAGGGUGAUCGGCCACACUGGGACUGAGACACGGCCCAGACUCCUACGGGAGGCAGCAGUAGGGAAUCUUCGGCAAUGGACGGAAGUCUGACCGAGCAACGCCGCGUGAGGGAAGAAGGUUGUCGGAUCGUAAAGCUCGGUUGUAAGAGAAGAACGAGUGUGAGAGUGGAAAGUUCACACUGUGACGGUAUCUUACCAGAAAGGGACGGCUAACUACGUG
rnacentral:rRNA from 1 species